rnacentral:rRNA from 1 species
GUGAACGCUGGCGGCGUGCCUAAUACAUGCAAGUCGAGCGAACAGACGAGGAGCUUGCUCCUCUGACGUUAGCGGCGGACGGGUGAGUAACACGUGGAUAACCUACCUAUAAGACUGGGAUAACUUCGGGAAACCGGAGCUAAUACCGGAUAAUAUAUUGAACCGCAUGGUUCAAUAGUGAAAGACGGUUUUGCUGUCACUUAUAGAUGGAUCCGCGCCGCAUUAGCUAGUUGGUAAGGUAACGGCUUACCAAGGCAACGAUGCGUAGCCGACCUGAGAGGGUGAUCGGCCACACUGGAACUGAGACACGGUCCAGACUCCUACGGGAGGCAGCAGUAGGGAAUCUUCCGCAAUGGGCGAAAGCCUGACGGAGCAACGCCGCGUGAGUGAUGAAGGUCUUCGGAUCGUAAAACUCUGUUAUUAGGGAAGAACAAAUGUGUAAGUAACUAUGCACGUCUUGACGGUACCUAAUCAGAAAGCCACGGCUAACUACGUG